AGUAACGCGUGGGUAACCUGCCUUGUACUGGGGGAUAGCAGCUGGAAACGGCUGGUAAUACCGCAUAAGCGCACAAUGUUGCAUGACAUGGUGUGAAAAACUCCGGUGGUAUAAGAUGGACCCGCGUCUGAUUAGCUAGUUGGUGAGAUAACAGCCCACCAAGGCGACGAUCAGUAGCCGACCUGAGAGGGUGACCGGCCACAUUGGGACUGAGACACGGCCCAGACUCCUACGGGAGGCAGCAUG
rnacentral:rRNA from 1 species